ACACUGGCAUGCUUAGUAGCGGCGAGUGAGCGGCAAAAGCUCAAAUUUGAAAUCUGGCACCUUCGGUGUCCGAGUUGUAAUUUGAAGAUUGUAACCUUGGGGUUGGCUCUUGUCUAUGUUUCUUGGAACAGGACGUCACAGAGGGUGAGAAUCCCGUGCGAUGAGAUGCCCAAUCCUAUGUAAGGUGCUUUCGAAGAGUCGAGUUGUUUGGGAAUGCAGCUCUAAGUGGGUGGUAAAUUCCAUCUAAAGCUAAAUAUUGGCGAGAGACCGAUAGCGAACAAGUACAGUGAUGGAAAGAUGAAAAGAACUUUGAAAAGAGAGUGAAAAAGUACGUGAAAUUGUUGAAAGGGAAGGGUUUGAGAUCAGACUCGAUAUUUUGUGAGCCUUGCCUUCGUGGCGGGGUGACCCGCAGCUUAUCGGGCCAGCAUCGGUUUGGGCGGUAGGAUAAUGGCGUAGGAAUGUGACUUUGCUUCGGUGAAGUGUUAUAGCCUGCGUUGAUGCUGCCUGCCUAGACCGAGGACUGCGAUUUUAUCAAGGAUGCUGGCAUAAUGAUCCCAAACCGCCCGUCUUGAACCACGGACCA
rnacentral:rRNA from 1 species